rnacentral:lncRNA from 1 species
CUCUAAAUCUAUGUGUUCUAAUAUAGAACACUGGACGCGUCCAUACGUUCUGCCACAGAAUACGAAUGUUCUAAUUCGUGCAGCACGUGUUCUAUUGCUGAACGCCUGUAAUCUGUUGUAGAACGCGUGUGUUCUCUCCUGGGAGAAGUCCAUGCACAUUAGCAGAGAUAAUGUGCUGAAUGCUGUUAGACAAAUUUAAAUUCGACCAUCAUAUUUGUGUUUUCGGAAUAUUUAUUUUUGAGAAGAAGAGAGGCUGGUAGAUUGGUAUGUCAAACAGAAAAUGUGUAUAAGAAGGGUUAUAUUUUGAGUUUGAUGAAUAAUAAAUAGUUUAUAAACAUGGCAUACUUUGGGUUAAUAAUAACUUAUAUGUAGCCUGAAUAAAUACAACAAGAAACAUUACUGAAAUACAACUCAUUGCUAAUACAUGGAAAUAACUUGCUUGCAUUGGGGACAUUUACUUGUAUCAGAACACUGGCAUUCUGAUGGCUAAUUUUAGCUGGAUCUUUAAUGGGUGCUCUGGAACUUAUACGGUCUAUUUGCUGAACGCCUGCGUUCUCUCCUAGAACGCGUGUGUUCUGCUGUGUUCUAUAAUGUUAUAUGCGAGAACACGUGUUCCAUUAAUAGAACAUCGGUGUUCUGUUUUUCUAACAAGCAUUCAAAGCUGUCCAUGCUCUGUGAUUCACAUCCGUUAUGUGAGAAACUGGCGUGACGUCGCAUGUAUUUGGCGCUACAAUUUCCUAUGAUCUGAGGUGUGUCUGUGGUUCUAUAUGAAUCGCCUGAAAGUGCGAAGCGUGCUACAUGCAACAAAUCUCUGAACAUCUAAAUUUGGGAUCCGAGGGCAUGAUCAGCAAGCAUCGACAAUGCAUCGAAAUCAGCAGAGAGUAGUGGUGCAUUGCAGAUAAUCAGUACCAUCCAUGGAAAUUAUUGCACAGGGCACACGUCUACACAAAGGAGGAAAAGACACAAGGUUUUGCAGAUCAAAUAAGAAGGAUGUUGGGGAGUCAUAUUUCACAUGAAGUUUCCUGAAGCCUGCGAUGGUCAUGUCGCUGUUACGAACAUCGUCCUUUGGGGAUAUUUACCCACAAGAAACAUCUGCGAAGUACAUGCGCUUGAAACUUAAGUUAUCUUAAGUAUGGAAGUAUGCUUCAAUUUGCUACACAACAGUUUGUAAUGUUUCAUGAAGAACUCUGACUCAUAAGUGACUUGAAUAUCCAUGAUCAUCCCAAACAAAUGUAAUAAAGAAUUCAUGGUUGCAGUUCAGAAUUUCGUCCGUGUGAUUUUAUGCCAGAUAAUAUGCAUGGGUGUAUGGUUUAAAUUCGUACACCUUGAAAAACAUCGGGUAAAUUGUAUUCGACACACACGAUGAGUUGUCGUUUCAGUAAUGUGGAAGUACGUGUCCGAGAACGUGUAGUGUUCUGAAUCUCGGUCCAGAACACUUUACAGGCGUUCUAAAAGCGUUACAUCGUCAGAACACGUUGAAGCGUUCUAAAUAUGUUUGUAGAACACUCUUGUUCUGGGUCGAGAACAUCAACGUUCAGAAUAUUUUCAGAACACAUGGACGCGUUCUAAAAGUGUUACAUCCAUGUGUUCUGUCUAGUGUUCAGAAGUGGAACACUUGGGUU